rnacentral:rRNA from 1 species
GGAAUUUUGGACAAUGGGCGCAAGCCUGAUCCAGCCAUGCCGCGUGCGGGAAGAAGGCCUUCGGGUUGUAAACCGCUUUUGGCAGGAACGAAACGGCGCGAGUGAAUACCUCGCGCUAAUGCCGGUACCUGCCGAAUAAGCACCGGCUAACUACGUGCCAGCAGCCGCGGUAAUACGUAGGUUGCGAGCGUUGUCCGGAUUUACUGGGUGUAAAGCGCGCGCAGGCGGUCUUGAAAGUCCACGGUGAAAGCUCCCGGCCCAACUGGGAGAGGCCCGUGGAAACUUCGAGACUUGAAGGCGGGAGAGGCAAAUGGAAUUUCCGGUGUAGCGGUAAAAUGCGUAGAUACCGGAAGGAACACCAGUGGCGAAGGCGAUUUGCUGGCCCGCACUUGACGCUCAGGCGCGAAAGCUAGGGUAGCGACC